CCCUUAGAUGUUCUGGGCCGCACGCGUGCUACACUGAGUGGAUCAGCGGGUCAGGUUGCGCGAAAGCGUUUCCUAAUCUUUAAAGCCGCUCGUGAUGGGGAUUGACGGUUGCAAUUUUCUGUCAUGAACGAGGAAUACCUUGUAAGCGCGGGUCAUCAUCCCGCGCUGAAUACGUCCCUGCCCUUUGUACACACCGCCCGUCGCUCCUACCGAUUGAGUGGUCCGGUGAGGCUUUGGGAUCUGAGCGGAAAGAGCGUUUCGCUGUUUCUGCUCGGAAAACUCAGUCGAACCUUAUCAUUUAGAGGAAGGAGAAGUCGUAACA
rnacentral:rRNA from 1 species